rnacentral:rRNA from 1 species
UCCAGACUCCUACGGGAGGCAGCAGUGGGGAAUGUUGGGCAAUGGGCGCAAGCCUGACCCAGCAACGCCGCGUGAAGGAAGAAGGCUUUCGGGUUGUAAACUUCUUUUCUCAGGGACGAAGCAAGUGACGGUACCUGAGGAAUAAGCCACGGCUAACUACGUGCCAGCAGCCGCGGUAAUACGUAGGUGGCAAGCGUUAUCCGGAUUUACUGGGUGUAAAGGGCGUGUAGGCGGGGACGCAAGUCAGAUGUGAAAACCACGGGCUCAACCUGUGGCCUGCAUUUGAAACUGUGUUUCUUGAGUACUGGAGAGGCAGACGGAAUUCCUAGUGUAGCGGUGAAAUGCGUAGAUAUUAGGAGGAACACCAGUGGCGAAGGCGGCUUGCUGGACGAUGACUGACGUUGAGGCUCGAAAGCGUGGGGAGCAAACAGGAUUAGAUACCCCCGUAA